GGGUUUACCCAUUGGUCAGGCUUAAUUGUCUGUACUGGUGAGAUAAAUCUCUACCUUCUGAGGAACUUUCAUGUCAUUAAUUUGGUGUGAUUGGAAAUCAGGACUGUUACUUUGAAAAAAUUAGAGUGUUUAAAGCAAGCUAACGCUUGAAUACAUUAGCAUGGAAUAAUGAAAUAGGACGUUCGAUCCUAUUUUGUUGGUUUCUAGGGGCGGAAUA
rnacentral:rRNA from 1 species